GACGAACGCUGGCGGCGUGCUUAACACAUGCAAGUCGAACGCUGAAGCCCAGCUUGCUGGGUGGAUGAGUGGCGAACGGGUGAGUAACACGUGAGUAACCUGCCCCCUUCUUUGGGAUAACGCCCGGAAACGGGUGCUAAUACUGGAUAUUCACUGGCCUUCGCAUGGGGGUUGGUGGAAAGGUUUUUCUGGUGGGGGAUGGGCUCGCGGCCUAUCAGCUUGUUGGUGGGGUGAUGGCCUACCAAGGCUUUGACGGGUAGCCGGCCUGAGAGGGUGACCGGUCACAUUGGGACUGAGAUACGGCCCAGACUCCUACGGGAGGCAGCAGUGGGGAAUAUUGCACAAUGGGCGAAAGCCUGAUGCAGCGACGCCGCGUGAGGGAUGACGGCCUUCGGGUUGUAAACCUCUUUCGCUCAUGGUCAAGCCGCAGCUUUGGGUUGUGGUGAGGGUAGUGGGUAAAGAAGCGCCGGCUAACUACGUGCCAGCAGCCGCGGUAAUACGUAGGGCGCGAGCGUUGUCCGGAAUUAUUGGGCGUAAAGGGCUUGUAGGCGGUUGGUCGCGUCUGCCGUGAAAUCCUCUGGCUUAACUGGGGGCGUGCGGUGGGUACGGGCUGACUUGAGUGCGGUAGGGGAGACUGGAACUCCUGGUGUAGCGGUGAAAUGCGCAGAUAUCAGGAAGAACACCGGUGGCGAAGGCGGGUCUCUGGGCCGUUACUGACGCUGAGGAGCGAAAGCGUGGGGAGCGAACAGG
rnacentral:rRNA from 1 species